rnacentral:lncRNA from 1 species
GAAAGUGGGGCGGGAACUCGGGAAGGGCGGGCAUUGCUGGGGGUCUUGGGGGGUGUUUGUGGCUCUGACCGAACCUUUGAGAAACGCUGGUGCUUGGGGGCUUUGUGCUACAGAAUCGUGCUCAUCGUCAGCGCGGUUUGAUGUCUGAGGAGCUCCCUGAGGCGGUCACGAAAAACAACUGUGCUUAAGUUAAUGUGGAACUGAAAGUGGGGAUUUGUUAGUGGCAUAACCUUCCAGAGCUGUGUAGAAUGCGGUUUUCCCAGCGAUGACUGUUGGCCGUUAAUUUUCUCUCUUUAAACAAAAACGCGGCUGCUCAGCUUUGUCCAGUAAUGACAAUGUAUAUGAGUGACUUACCUGAUGCUCUUAAAAGAUGAACGACGUGGAGAAAUAAUGGUUUUGUGGUGAUAUCGUGUUGGGAGUGAGAAAAGGUUUCCUACCUUGACCUUUUGUGCAAUGCUGAGAUACCAGAUUGAGGACUCAUGUAAUACAGGAGGUACAAUCUUCAGAGCAAAGUCAAAUCAGGUGGAUGAGCUGAUCCAACAGUUGUCCACUCCAGGAAAUGAGGUUUCACUUCUUCAUCCACCCCUUGCUGAUGUCCAUCACCCCUUGCUGAGCCAGAACAUUUCACUAAGCCAGCAGAAAGCCGUCCAAUGGACUGAUGCGGUUUAAGAUUUGUUUGUUGGGUUUUGUUGGUUUUAUUUCCAAACUAGCAUUAAUCUUAUGCCAGAUUAUUAAUUAGAAUAUCUCACAGACAAGACCAAAGACUGCUAGAGCCAGUUUAAUGUUGGAGGGUAGGGAGAUUCAACUUGCAGAUUGCUCAGAUAUUUAAUAGCCACAAUAGUGAACUGAUUCUCUAGGUUUUCUCACAAUUCCUGACUGGUGUCUGCUUCUGAAGCUAUGUUUUUGGUUUAACAUGAUGUUAUUCCCCUAACAGGUACGCUCCUUUAUUGCCGUGAUACAUUCACAUGAUUUACAAAGAUGUCAUUCUAAAUUUUUUUAAAAGUAAAAAUAACUGAAUAGAUUGACCAGUCAGGAUUGACUGAGGUACAUGAUCUUCUAUUGUCAUGCAAUCUGUCCUUGUUAAUAAACUUAUUUCUUCACUAGCUUUUUGAUUUUGA